ACGCUCGACACCUACGGAGGCAGCAGUGGGGAAUAUUGCACAAUGGGGGAAACCCUGAUGCAGCGACGCCGCGUGAGCGAAGAAGUAUCUCGGUAUGUAAAGCUCUAUCAGCAGGGAAGAAGAAUGACGGUACCUGACUAAGAAGCUCCGGCUAAAUACGUACCAGCAGCCGCGGUAAUCUGAGCGGGCUGGCAAGGC
rnacentral:rRNA from 1 species